rnacentral:rRNA from 1 species
GGGAAUCUACCCUGAACUGCGGAAUAGCUCCGGGAAACUGGAAUUAAUACCGCAUGUGCCCUGAGGGCAAAGAUUUAUCGGUUCAGGAUGAGCCCGCGUCGGAUUAGCUAGUUGGUGGGGUAAUGGCCUACCAAGGCGACGAUCCGUAGCUGGUCUAAGAGGAUGAUCAGCCACAUUGGGACUGAGACACGGCCCAAACUCCUACGGGAGGCAGCAGUGGGGAAUAUUGGACAAUGGGCGCAAGCCUGAUCCAGCCAUGCCGCGUGAGUGAUGAAGGCCCUAGGGUUGUAAAGCUCUUUCAGUGGGGACGAUAAUGACGGUACCCACAGAAGAAGCCCCGGCUAACUUCGUGCCAGCAGCCGCGGUAAUACGAAGGGGGCUAGCGUUGUUCGGAAUUACUGGGCGUAAAGCGCACGUAGGCGGAUAUUUAAGUCAGGGGUGAAAUCCCGGGGCUCAACCCCGGAACUGCCUUUGAUACUGGAUGUCUUGAGUCCGGAAGAGGUGAGUGGAAUUGCGAGU